rnacentral:rRNA from 1 species
UACGGGGGGGGGCAAGCGUUGUUCGGAAUUACUGGGCGUAAAGCGUGCGCAGGCGGUCUUUUAAGUCAGAUGUGAAAUCCCCGGGCUUAACCUGGGAACUGCGUUUGAAACUGGAAGGCUUGAGUGUGGCAGAGGGGGGGUGGAAUUCCACGUGUAGCAGUGAAAUGCGUAGAGAUGUGGAGGAACACCGAUGGCGAAGGCAGCCCCCUGGGCUAACACUGACGCUCAUGCACGAAAGCGUGGGGAGCAAACAGG